rnacentral:rRNA from 1 species
GACGAACGCUGGCGGCGUGCUUAACACAUGCAAGUCGAACGCUGAAGCUCAGCUUUUGUUGGGUGGAUGAGUGGCGAACGGGUGAGUAACACGUGAGUAACCUGCCUCCUUCUUUGGGAUAACGCCCGGAAACGGGUGCUAAUACUGGAUAUUCACUGGUCUUCGCAUGGGGGUUGGUGGAAAGGGUUUUUCUGGUGGGGGAUGGGCUCGCGGCCUAUCAGCUUGUUGGUGGGGUGAUGGCCUACCAAGGCUUUGACGGUAGCCGGCCUGAGAGGGUGACCGGUCACAUUGGGACUGAGAUACGGCCCAGACUCCUACGGGAGGCAGCAGUGGGGAAUAUUGCACAAUGGGCGCAAGCCUGAUGCAGCGACGCCGCGUGAGGGAUGGAGGCCUUCGGGUUGUGAACCUCUUUCGCUCAUGGUCAAGCCGCAACAAUGGUUGUGGUGAGGGUAGUGGGUAAAGAAGCGCCGGCUAACUACGUG